ACGAACGCUGGCGGCGUGCCUAAUACAUGCAAGUCGAGCGAAGUUUUUCUGGUGCUUGCACUGGAAAAACUUAGCGGCGAACGGGUGAGUAACACGUAAAGAACCUGCCUCAUAGACUGGGACAACUAUUGGAAACGAUAGCUAAUACCGGAUAACAGUAUUUCUCGCAUGAGAGAUAUUUAAAAGUUGGUUAUGCUAACACUAUGAGAUGGCUUUGCGGUGCAUUAGCUAGUUGGUGGGGUAAAGGCCCACCAAGGCGACGAUGCAUAGCCGACCUGAGAGGGUGAUCGGCCACACUGGGACUGAGACACGGCCCAGACUCCUACGGGAGGCAGCAGUAGGGAAUCUUCCGCAAUGGGCGAAAGCCUGACGGAGCAACGCCGCGUGAGUGAAGAAGGAUUUCGGUUCGUAAAGCUCUGUUGUUAGGGAAGAAUGGAUAUGUAGUAACUAUACAUGUAAGAGACGGUACCUAACCAGAAAGCCACGGCUAACUACGUG
rnacentral:rRNA from 1 species